rnacentral:rRNA from 1 species
ACUCCUACGGGAGGCAGCAGUGGGGAAUAUUGCACAAUGGGCGGAAGCCUGAUGCAGCAACGCCGCGUGCGGGAUGACGGCCUUCGGGUUGUAAACCGCUUUCGCCUGUGACGAAGCGUGAGUGACGGUAAUGGGUAAAGAAGCACCGGCUAACUANG